rnacentral:rRNA from 1 species
GACGACCGCUGGCGGCGUGCUUAACACAUGCAAGUCGAACGGAAAGGCCCUGCUUUUGUGGGGUGCUCGAGUGGCGAACGGGUGAGUAACACGUGAGUAACCUGCCCUUGACUUUGGGAUAACUUCAGGAAACUGGGGCUAAUACCGGAUAGGAGCUCCUGCUGCAUGGUGGGGGUUGGAAAGUUUCGGCGGUUGGGGAUGGACUCGCGGCUUAUCAGCUUGUUGGUGGGGUAGUGGCUUACCAAGGCUUUGACGGGUAGCCGGCCUGAGAGGGUGACCGGCCACAUUGGGACUGAGAUACGGCCCAGACUCCUACGGGAGGCAGCAGUGGGGAAUAGUGCACAAUGGGCGGAAGCCUGGUGCAGCAACGCCGCGUGCGGGAUGACGGCCUUCGGGUUGUAAACCGCUUUCGCCUGUGACGAAGCGUGAGUGACGGUAAUGGGUAAAGAAGCACCGGCUAACUACGUG